rnacentral:miRNA from 1 species
UACCCACCAUGCCUUUUCCUCUGCAUUCAGACUAUCAUGUGUCUGGCAGUGGCUAGAACUAGCUGGCUGGAG